rnacentral:lncRNA from 10 species
GAGGAAGAGAGAAGAAAAGGAAAAGAAGAAAUGAGUGCUGCCUAAGGCCCCACAGAGGUAUACAUCUGAAAUCAGAUCCAGCUCUUUCCUACCUACCCUAGACCUGACCCUUUCCUGUGGCCUCCAUCUGCCCUUGCACCCUCUGCCAACCUGCAGGCCCCAACCUCCCUAACUCCUGCUGAGCUGGAAACCUUAGAUACCAAAGAACCAACCCCCACUCCCCAUUGGACAUCUCCUUUCUGAAAAAGCCCUGGCCAGGAAGGUGGGACGAACUGGGGGCUUUAAUCUUGGCUCUGUCUCCUUCCCUGAGUUGUGAUGAGUUUAAGUGAGAUCAAGGAUCUUAAAAGUGCUCCAGAAACUGAAAAAUGUUGAAAGAACACGAGGAAGGGGAAACUACCACUCUGUUGUUUUAUAUGGAGAUGAGUGAUUUGGAGCCAGGCCUUCCAAAGGGUCACAGUUUGGAGGGAGGAGACAUACAGACCCCAAGCCCCAAUGUGUCAUGGAUAAUGCAAUAGCCAAAGGAUGUGCCAGGCAUUGUGAGGGCACAGACAACUCCUAGGGGAGUCAGGGAAAGCCUUGAGAAGAGCACACAUUGGAAAUGGGUCUUGAGGACGUGUAAGUUUACCAGGUAGACUAAAGAGAAUAUGCAUAUUUCAAGGGAGGGAACAGCUUGUACAAAGGCAUGGAGGCUGGAAAGGGAAUGGUGUCCAGUGAGAGUGUCCAGUCAGGGAUGGAUGAAAUGAGUUUUGGCAAGGUGGGCCAGGACAGAGCAGAGCAUGUCCUUGAAAUACUUGCAAAAGGCCAGCCACCUCACCUGGCCCUCAAUUUCCAUCUUUACAACAAACCUGGAAAGCA